CAGGUAUGCCAUCACGCAGUGAAAGUACAAACCAGUCCCGUCCUUCUUUGGUGUCUCCAUAAAAGACAGCCCCCUCUGGAUCAAGGGUCCGAAACUCAAAGAAAGAUCUGAUGCUGUAUGUGCGAGGAAAUUGAAAACGAGUGUCAGAACCAUGUCAUCAGCUGGAACAUGAAGUGCAUGCUAGUCAUCCAGGUAAAGAUUUUCAAUUUAAGCACAUGAGAUGACUUGUUUUAUAAUGCGGUCAUGGGUAGGUUAGGAACUAAGAAGAGUCUCGGAAGAAGAUGGGUAAUGAGCUAAAGGUCUCGCACUUAGCUGUGCCACUGAAAGAGACCAUGGACUGAAUGUCAGUGGAAAAGGGUAAUGAGUGAAGGCCGCCUGUUUCCGUAUCGCCGUGACGGGGCCCACCAGGGUGAGGCAGACUGUGAAAAGGGGGCUGUCGCAAGAUACUGAACUCUGCACAACCCCCUGCCAAAAACAUGGUGGAGCCAGCCAGAGGAGAGAUGAGAGGUAGGGAAAAGAGCAAAAAGGAGGAGUGGGCUGGUUUGGAGAAACAAGAGGGAAGCAGUUGGGAGAUGGAGACGGAUGGUCCGAGGUUGUGUCCACGGUGGCUCAAAUGUUCCCCUGCUCACUGCUGAUCAAAGGCCUUCUUUAACAUGACAUAUGGAUCAGCAGACACUAAUGAGAAGGCAGUGGCCAGCUGAAUCUCCACGGUAACAAAAGAGGCUGGGACAUCUGGAGUCAGCCACACACAGACUCCUGGUGCGUUUUGGGGAAGAGGGGGCUGUCAGAUGUCCGCCUGCAAUGUGAGGACUGGAUAACAAAUAUGGCAGUGGGCAGAUGAAGGAAAUGCCAUGUUAACCCUCUGACGUUUGAUAGAUUUGUUAUCAGAGUACAAAUAAUCAAUGUUUACAUGAGAAUAGCAUGACUACCCAGAAUCUUUUCUUUUAUUCAUAUUUAUCAAACAUUGUACAGA